AGCACUGGGUGUUGCAUGGAAACCAAUUUGACAAUAAAUUUCAUAUUUAAAAAAAAUAACUGCCUAGAACACCCAUUACUAUAUAGGACCUUGGUGAAAUUACUUAAUCUGUUUAAGCCUCAGUUUCUUCAUUUAUAAAAUGAAGAUAAUAAUAAUACCUAAUACAUGGGGUUGUAUGAACAAAUUAUGUAAAACAUACACCUGAGAAACUGAUAGACAUCAAGUACUCAGUAAAUCUUUCUCUCCUCAUUCUCUGAGAAAGAAAUUCCAACAGUAUUAAUAAACUUUUAUAUUUUUCCCAGGUCUCAAGCCACUUUAAUUUUUUGUAAAUAAAAUCCUUGUCUUUCUGCUGUUUAUUAGAAAGUCACCUUAAAGUUGUUUAAGUAUUUAGUGACUUCACUGGUGACUAACUUGGAAUUGGGUAUGACUUGGAUUUGCCUGUUAACGAUAACAUGAUGCCAUAUAGCUCCCUCCAGGAAUACAUUUGUCUACUCUGUAAUUUCAUGGCUGAACUGAAAAGUGUCUGACCCAGUUAGGAAGGUGGGCAGUAAAAAGCAAGAAGUGGCUUCUUACCGUUGUUCACCUGACAGUGCCUUUGGAACAUGAUCUUGUCUCCUGGCCACAUUUGAGCUUUCCAGAAGGAGCAGAGUAGCAUCAGGUAAGCAAAUAGCACUUGGACUCAGGCCAACCUACUAACAGAAUGAACAUGUUAAACUUUUCAGUCUUCCAUUUAUCAGUGUUAGUAUCCUAAUUUAAAGUCAGGAGUCUCUUGUCUGUAGAUUGGAAUCACUGGAUUUUUUAAAUGACUAGAUCAAAUUUUUAACGUUGUACUUUUCCUUCUCCAGCUUCCCAACUCUGUAGCUUCUCAAUUCUUAUCACUUACCUGACACCACCUAGGAAAGAUUAUACAGAACCUAUAGACCAAGUUCCCUACAGACUUCUCCUACUGAUGAUGUAAUUGGAUCCCCCAGCUGAUGGCAGACCCAAUUCUUUAUUUUCUUCUCUGAUAAUGCCAGAAGACUUAGGGUCUUGCAGCUUGGGAGAGUGGGUGGAUUGGGUAUGCAUUGCAUGUGGGUGCAGAUGCUAUGGAGGUAAAGCUGUGCUCUGUCUCUCUCUGGGUUUCAUAGUCCACAACAGCUACUGAAUGGUGUGGAAGAAGUGGAAAUCAGCAGAAGCUCCUGCUGAUCCCUAUCCCAUUCCUUCAGGGGAUUAUGCAGACUGCAUUCCUACUGUGGCUUAUGAAGCCUCUACUCAUAUCUCCAGUCUCUUGACAUUCCUUACUGUUUCCUCCAAGGUCCAAGCAUACUAAACCUCUUUCAGUCUCCAGUCUCCUGGAUGUGCAUGCUUUCUGUUGCUUCAGGUCCCAGCUUGGCCACUGGGACAGGUCUAAGAAGCCUGUCCUGAACUACCAAGAGUGGGUCAGAGAUGUAAGAGAAUAUAUGUUUUUCUGGAACAAAAACGAUGCCGUGAAAAUUAAACAGAACCAGAAACAGCUCUUAGAAAUUAAAAAUAUGAUGGAAGAAGUGAAAUACUUAAUAAAAGAGUUGGAUGAUAAAAGAACACCCCAGAAAACAUUAAAAAUACAAAGAAAAGAUAAGGAAAUUAGAGGAGUGGUCCAGGAGUUAUGACAUUUGAGAAACAGAAGUUCAGAAUGUGAAAAUGGAAAACAGAAGACAGGAAAUCAAUCAUAAGGCAGAUUUGCCUUGCCUUAGGGGCUCUCCCUGAGAAGCCAAGGACUCUGGCUCACACUGUGGUGGCUGUACUUACCCACUUUCUUCUGAAAUUUGGCAGAGAAAUACUAAAAGAUGCUCCAGUGGAUGAAUCUGGGUACCAAACAUAUUUCUUCCUGCUCCCACGGUGAAUAGAGUCAGAAUUUACAUUAUUUUUUGAAGAUGGAGGAAGAGGCUACGAUGUAAGCAAUGCAUGCAGUCUCUAAAAGCUCAAAAGGGCAGAGAAACGGCCUUUAGAAGGAAUGCAGCGGUGCUAACACAUCUUAGACUUCGGAUCUCCUGAACUUCUUUAGGCCAUAAUCACUGCAUUCCUGGGAUCUCAUUCAAUGUUGGCUCGCUCCUGCCUUCUAUACAGCCACUAGCACUUACCUGGAGUUAACUGUGGUCCAGAAGCAGGUGAUCCUCCGUCUGAUACAUGGUCAGAAGGUCCUAACACUACAUCACAACGCCUGUAUCCUUCACCUCACUACCUCUCACAUUAUCAUCUCCCAUCAUCACAAGGAGGAGAAGCUGCCCAAGACUGGAGGAACAUAACAUGGGAAGAAAAUGAGUGCAGUAAGAGAAGCUUAAGGGAAAACAAAAAUAAAACAAGGGAAAUAAAGGACUCCAGGACCUCUUAUUGUCUUCUCUUUUGGAACCAGAAGCCACCCUGUAUGGGGCACCUGAAUCUUGCCACUGACCUUCCUGUACCAGGCUCAAUCUCUCUCCCCGACCCUCUCAUCAUUUAAGGUAAAUGGAUGGAUGCACCGUAGCUGUUGUGGCUAUGUUGUGUUUUUCAUGCUCGAUUCCACAUUCGUGUCACUGUCAGGCUUCUUGACACAUGAGAGAAAGGAAUCUUCCACAACUCCUGGCUAAACAGAGGACCACUCUCUGCAUGAGUGUAGAGGAGGAUUAGACUGGGUAUGUGGCAGCCUCUUUACUUACUGUAGUAAUGCUCUAAAUGAAAAUUUGAGUUUCCUGAAAUCACCAUGUUGUUGUUGUUUUUUUUUUUUUUUUUGGUGGGGGGAGGAGGUCUAUACUUUUGCCAUUUGUUUUUAAGGUUGAUUAAUACUCUUUCUCACUUCCAGGCCUCUUUAACUGUUUUUCCUCCACUUAGAAUGCAUCCCCCCCCAAGUUUUCAUAUAGCUAGUUCUUUUCUUAUCCUUCCCAGCUGCACCAGGGAAACAUUCACUGGUACAUCCCUUUGGGAGAUACUAUAGCCAGACUCCAUCAGCAUCUAUUUCAACCUUCUACUGGUGAGCCUUCAUUUUUUUGAAGAGUUGAGAAAACUCAAAAAUAUACUUCUCUGCUCCCUUUGCGGCCAGGGUUCUAGCUUAGUUUUGGUUUCUUCAGUGAACUACAGGCAUACUUUGUUUUACUGCAUUUUGCAGACAUUGUGCUUGUCUGUUUUUUUAAACAGUUGAAGAUUAAUGGCAACCCUGCAUCGAGAAAUCUGUCAGCACCAUUUUUUCCUACAGCAUCUGCUCUCUUCAUGUCUCUGUGUCACAUUUUGGUAAUUUUCACAAUAUUUCAAACUUUCCCAUUAUUAUUCUAUGUGUUAUAAUGAUCUGUGAUAAGUGAUCUUUGAUAUUACUACUGUAAUUGCUUUGGGGUACCACAAACUGUGCUCACAUAAGAUGGUAAACUUAGUCGGUAAAUGUGGUAUGUGUUCUGACUGCUUCACCAGCCCGCUGUUCCACCAUCUCUCUCUCUCUCUCCCUCUCCUCAGGCCUCCCUAUUCCCCGAGACACAACAAUGUUGAAAUGAGGUCAAUGAAUAACCCUGCAGUGCCCUCUAAGUGUUCAAGUGAGAGGAUGAGCUGCACAUCUCUCACUUGAAUCAAAAGGUAGAAAUGAUUAAGCUUAGUGAGCAAGGCAUGUCAAAAGCCACGGGAGGCCAAAAGCUAGGCCUCAUGCUCUAGUUAGCCAAGUUGAGAAUGAAAAGGAAAAGUUCUUGAAGGAAAGUAAAAGUGCUACUCCUGCGAAGGCACAAAUGAUAAGAAAGUGAAAUAGCCUUCUGGUUGAUAUGGAGAAAGUGUUAGCGGUCUGGAUGGAAGAUCAAACCAGCCACAACAUUACCUUAAAUCAAAGCCUAAUCCCAGAGCAAGACCUUAACUCUCUUCACAUCUGUGAAGGCUGAGAGAGGUGAAGAAGCUGCAGAAGAAAAGUCUGAAGCUGGCAGAGGUUGGCUCAUGAGGUUUAAAGAAAGAAAAUUCUUCAUAACAUCAAGUGCAAGGUGCAGCAGCAGUGCUGAUGUGGAAGCUGCAGGAAGUUCUCCAGAAGAUCUAGUGAAGAUAAUUAAUGAAGGUGGCUACACUAAACAACAGGUUUCCAAUAGAGAGGAAGCACCUUCUAUUGGAAGAAGAUGCCAUCUAGGACUUUCACAGCUAGAGACAAGUUAUUUGGAAAUAUCUUCUUCCAUUCAGUAGGCUGCCUUUUUGUUUUGGUUUUGUUAUGUAAAACCGUUCUUGUUUGAUAUAGUCCCAUUUGUUUAUUUUUGCUUUUGUUGCCCUUGCCUGAGGAGACAGAUGAUGUCAGAGUUUAUUGCCUAUGCUUUCUUCUAAGAGUCUUAUGAUUUCCACUAUGACCUUUAAGUCUUUAAUCCAUUUUGAGUUUAUUUUUGUAUAUAGUAUAAGUGGCCCAGUUUCAUUCUUUUGCACGUAGCUGUCCAGUUUUCUCAACACCAUUUACUGAAGAGACUGUCUUUUAACCGUUGUAUAUUCUUAGCUUCUUUGUUGAAGACUAAUUAAACAUAGGUCAAUACAUUGAUUGACCUCCUGACCUCA